GAUGAACGCUGGCGGCGUGCCUAAUACAUGCAAGUCGAGCGAACAGACGAGGAGCUUGCUCCUCUGACGUUAGCGGCGGACGGGUGAGUAACACGUGGAUAACCUACCUAUAAGACUGGGAUAACUUCGGGAAACCGGAGCUAAUACCGGAUAAUAUAUUGAACCGCAUGGUUCAAUAGUGAAAGACGGUUUUGCUGUCACUUAUAGAUGGAUCCGCGCCGCAUUAGCUAGUUGGUAAGGUAACGGCUUACCAAGGCAACGAUGCGUAGCCGACCUGAGAGGGUGAUCGGCCACCCUGGAACUGGGGCACGGUCCAGACUCCUACGGGGGGCCGCAGUAGGGAAUCUUCCGCAAUGGGCGAAAGCCUGACGGAGCAACGCCACGUGAGUGAUGAAGGUCUUCGGAUCGUAAAACUCUGUUAUUAGGGAAGAACAAAUGUGUAAGUAACUAUGCACGUCUUGACGGUACCUAAUCAGAAAGCCACGGCUAACUACGUG
rnacentral:rRNA from 1 species